rnacentral:rRNA from 1 species
ACACGACUACAUUAGAUACCCCGGUAGUCCUAGCCGUAAACGAUACUCGCUAGGUGUCGGCCACGGUGCGACCGUUGUCGGUGCCGUAGGGAAGCCGUGAAGCGAGCCACCUGGGAAGUACGGCCGCAAGGCUGAAACUUAAAGGAAUUGGCGGGGAGCACCACAACGGGUGGAGCCUGCGGUUUAAUUGGACUCAACGCCGGGAAGCUCACCGGAUAAGACAGCGGAAUGAUUGCCGGGCUGAAGACCCUGCAUGACCAACUG